UGGGUGAAGGCACAAGCUGGGGCGAAUGGGACUCCUGGAGUAAUACAUGUGAAGGAAAAGGGAUUUGUGGUAUCCAGACACGGGUAGAAGAGUCACAGGGAGGAGGAGACGACACCGCUCUCAAUGAUGUGCGCAUGUACUGCUGUGAUUAAGUUGUUAGAGGCCGACAGUAAGAAGAUCAGAUGGAUCAUAAUUGAUCAGCAUACUGUUAUGAGCUCACGUUAACCAUGUCCUAUAAAAGCCAGUCACACAAUAAAGCCUGAGAUGUGAUCAGGACCUCAAC